rnacentral:rRNA from 1 species
UACGUAGGGGGCAAGCGUUGUCCGGAAUUAUUGGGCGUAAAGAGCGUGUAGGCGGUCCGGUAAGUCAGCUGUGAAAGUCUAGGGCUCAACCCUGGAAUGCCGGUGGAAACUGUCGGGCUAGAGUCCGGAAGAGGCGAGUGGAAUUCCUGGUGUAGCGGUGAAAUGCGCAGAUAUCAGGAGGAACACCAAUGGCGAAGGCAGCUCGCUGGGACGGUACUGACGCUGAGACGCGAAAGCGUGGGGAGCAAACAGG